CAAGAGUGGCCGAGUGGUCCAAGGCGCUUGUUUCAGGUACAAGUCUCUUCGGAGGCGUGGGUUCGAACCCCACCUCUUGCAU
rnacentral:tRNA from 1 species